rnacentral:tRNA from 1 species
UGCGGCUUUGACGGGUGGUGAUCCGCGACCUGCCGGGUCACGAAAUACGGUUCCAGCCCGUGGGCUUCGA